CCUACGGGAGGCAGCAGUGGGGAAUAUUGGGCAAUGGGCGCAAGCCUGACCCAGCAACGCCGCGUGUAGGAAGAAGGCUUUCGGGUUGUAAACUUCUUUUCUCAGGGACGAAGCAAGUGACGGUACCUGAGGAAUAAGCCACGGCUAACUACGUGCCCGCAGCCGCGGUAAUACGUAGGUGGCACGCGUUAUCCGGAUUUACUGGGGGUAAGGGGCGUGUAGGCGGGGACGCACGUCAGAUGUGAAAACCACGGGCUCAACCUGUGGCCUGCAUUUGAUACUGUGUUUCUUGAGUACUGGAGAGGCAGACGGAAUUCCUAGUGUAGCGGUGAAAUGCGUAGAUAUUAGGAGGAACACCAGUGGCGAAGGCGGUCUGCUGGACAGCAACUGACGCUGAGGCGCGAAAGCGUGGGGAGCAAACAGGAUUAGAUACCCGGGUAGUC
rnacentral:rRNA from 1 species